rnacentral:misc_RNA from 1 species
GGCCUCUUGAAGAAACACUGAAUCAAUUGAGUCCAUCUCCUCAGUGAGCUUAAUAAUCGUUUCUGCAUCAUCAGCCUGUGUCUUGAAGUCACGGAGAAGCUUUAAUUUGUCUUUGCAAUCAGUCAAAGCCUGAAGUGUUUCCUGAGCUUUCGCACGAUCAUCCCAGAGAGACCGAUCAGCAGCUGCUGCUUCUAAAGCAGCAAGAUCUUCCUGUAAUUGCUUUAGACCAGCAGCAGCUCUGAUCUCCUGAACACGCUCUAAGACAGUUUCUACAUCCUUCCUUAAAGUAUAGAAAUCUUGCAUCGCCCAUUCACGCGUUUCAGUAUUUGUAACUCCCACCUCAUGUGUUGCAAAAGAAACCGUUGGAGAAGAAGUGAUGCUCUUAUGCAUUGCUCUUAUUCUCCUAAUUGCAGGAAAAAAAGAAUGAGAAGUGAGUAGUGAAAUUCCCCCUCUUCUCCUAU